rnacentral:rRNA from 1 species
CCCGGGUCUUGUACACACCGCCCGUCACACCAUGGGAGUGGGUUUCACCAGAAGUAGUUAGCCUAACCCGCAAGGGAGGGAGCCGUCGAAGGUGGGAUUGGUGACUGGGGUG